rnacentral:rRNA from 1 species
CAUAGGUUAAUGAGGCGAACCGGGGGAACUGAAACAUCUAAGUACCCCGAGGAAAAGAAAUCAACCGAGAUUCCCCCAGUAGCGGCGAGCGAACGGGGAGCAGCCCAGAGCCUGAAUCAGUGUGUGUGUUAGUGGAAGCGUCUGGAAAGGCGCGCGAUACAGGGUGACAGCCCCGUACACAAAAAUGCACAUGCUGUGAGCUCGAUGAGUAGGGCGGGACACGUGGUAUCCUGUCUGAAUAUGGGGGGACCAUCCUCCAAGGCUAAAUACUCCUGACUGACCGAUAGUGAACCAGUACCGUGAGGGAAAGGCGAAAAGAACCCCGGCGAGGGGAGUGAAAAAGAACCUGAAACCGUGUACGUACAAGCAGUGGGAGCACGCUUAGGCGUGUGACUGCGUACCUUUUGUAUAAUGGGUCAGCGACUUAUAUUCUGUAGCAAGGUUAACCGAAUAGGGGAGCCGAAGGGAAACCGAGUCUUAACUGGGCGUUAAGUUGCAGGGUAUAGACCCGAAACCCGGUGAUCUAGCCAUGGGCAGGUUGAAGGUUGGGUAACACUAACUGGAGGACCGAACCGACUAAUGUUGAAAAAUUAGCGGAUGACUUGUGGCUGGGGGUGAAAGGCCAAUCAAACCGGGAGAUAGCUGGUUCUCC